rnacentral:rRNA from 1 species
UAACAAGACCGUUCUCUUUGAGGUCGGUCAUUGGAAUGAGUACAAUCCAGAAACUUUAACGAGUAUCUACGAGAGGGCAAGUCUGGUGCCAGCAGCCGCGGUAAUUCCAGCUCUCGUAAGGUAUAGAAUUAUUGCUGUGGUUAAAAAGUUCGUAGUUGAAUUGUCGAGUUGGCAAGGGUCUACCCUAACGGGUAUGUACUCGUUGCUUGCUUAUUUGUGCGUUUAGCGCAUCGGAUGCUUGCAUUCGGUGUGCGACGUACUGGAUUACUUUGAACGGCUCAAGUGCUUAAAGCACGUCUUAUGACUGAAUACCGGUGCAUGGAAUAAUGGAACAAGGCUUCGGCCGGGUUUUGAUUGGUUUUGCCGGCUGAAACAAUGGUUAACAGGAACAGUCGGGGGCAUUCGUAUCGCUGCGCGAGAGGUGAAAUUCGUGGACCGUAGCGAGACGCCCAAAAGCGAAGGCACUUGCCAAGAGUGUUUUCAUUAAUCAAGAACGAAAGUCAGAGGUUCGAAGGCGAUUAGAUACCGCCCUAGUUCUGACCGUAAACGAUGCCAACUGUCGAUCCGCUUGUGGAUUCAAUUCAUGAGCGGGGAGGUUCCCGGAAACGAAAGUUUUUCGGUUCCGGGGGAAGUAUGGUUGCAAAGCUGAAACUUAAAGGAAUUGACGGAAGGGCACCACCAGGAGUGGAGCUUGCGGCUUAAUUUGACUCAACACGGGAAAACUCACCCGGCCAGUACAUUGUAAGGAUUGACAGACUGAUAGCUUUUUCAUGAUUCGGUGAAUGGUGGUGCAUGGCCGUUCUUAGUUCGUGGAUCGAUUUGUCUGGUUUAUUCCGAUAACGAGCGAGACUUUGACUAUUAAAUAGUGCAAUUGUUUCUUUUGAUGCGAUUGAACACUUCUUAAAAGAAUUUGGGGUUUCCAACCUCAAGAGAUUGAGCAAUAACAGGUCUGUGAUGCCCUUAGAUGUUCGGGGCCGCACGCGUGCUACAAUGAUGGUGGCAGCGUGAUUGUCCUCUUCCGAAAGGAAUUGGCAAACAGUUGAGUGAUUAUUUUGGCUGGAAUUGAGUAUUGAAAUUUUCACUCAUGAACGAGGA